ACCAAGUCCUCUGAGGUUGGGAAAUGCUGGAUAUUUGUCUGUCUGGCCAACCCAAAUUCAGCCUGGUGUUUGUGUGUUCUGCUGCGAUCUUCAGUUGCUUUCGUCAUGGAUACUUUCUUCCCCAGGGCCCUGAUUCUUAUGAAGUUAGAUCUGGUUACAAAAUCAACACUUUGAAAUUAGGAACUAUCAAACCUGGGGUUUCCCAAGUAUUCUUCAUUCUGCAACACUGCCCAUCCGCCCUUCUCCAUUUCGUGCCUAGCCUGAACACAAAGUAUGAGAAUUUAGAACAUCUGGGCAAAUGCGAAUCUGUUAUUUCCCAACUUCAGAAAGUUUGAUUUUGUCAGUGAUGCAAUCUCUGAAUGCUCUUUCUCUGUGCAGUGGAGGUGAACAGAUGCAGUUGAAAUGUUAAGCCAGAGCCCUUGCCUGACAUGUAGUUGAAUUGUUAAGGCAGAUCCCUUCCCAAAUGGCUCUCGUUUAUUGCAACAUGCUUGCUAAAUAUGACAAAGUUUUCUGCAUCAGCAGUGCCUUGCUGUGUCUGAGUGUGUUGAACCCAUCUCAAUAAAAGCUUUUUGACACAAGUGC